rnacentral:rRNA from 1 species
AUUGAACGCUAGCGGGAUGCUUUACACAUGCAAGUCGAACGAGUGGCGGACGGGUGAGUAAUAUCUGGGAAAGUGACCAGUAGCGGGGGAUAACUACUCGAAAGAGUGGCUAAUACCGCAUACUAUGGGAGCGGCCGAUAUCGGAUGAGCUAGUUGGUGGGGUAAAGGCUCACCAAGGCAACGAUCCGUAGCUGGUUUGAGAGGACGACCAGCCACACUGGGACUGAGCCACGGCCCAGACUCCUACGGGAGGCAGCAGUGGGGAAUAUUGGACAAUGGGCGAAACCCUGAUGCAGCCAUCCCGCGUGUAUGAGAAGGCCUUCGGGUUGUAAAGUACUUUUGGCAGGGAAGCGGUAUCUGCAGAAUAAGCACCGACUAACUCCGUGCCAGCAGCCGCGGUAAUUC